rnacentral:rRNA from 1 species
AGAACCUUACCUGGUCUUGACAUCCUGGGAAUCCCGUAGAGAUAUGGGAGUGCCGCAAGGAGCCCAGAGACAGGUGCUGCAUGGCUGUCGUCAGCUCGUGUCGUGAGAUGUUGGGUUAAGUCCCGCAACGAGCGCAACCCUUGUCCUUAGUUGCCAGCAUUUAGUUGGGCACUCUAAGGAGACCGCCGGUGACAAACCGGAGGAAGGUGGGGAUGACGUCAAGUCAUCAUGGCCUUUAUGACCAGGGCUACACACGUGCUACAAUGGUAGAUACAGAGGGAAGCCAACGCGCGAGCGGGAGCCAAUCCCAGAAAAUCUAUCGUAGUCCGGAUUGGAGUCUGCAACUCGACUCCAUGAAGCCGGAAUCGCUAGUAAUCGCAGAUCAGCAUUGCUGCGGUGAAUACGUUCCCGGGCCUUGUCACACCGA